UGGGAUACAGAUUCCUCCUUACAAGGUUUUUUGAGAAACCAAGAUCUGACACUAAGAGUGCUCACUGCUACUCUUAAGUCAGACAGAAAUGGAACUAUUAAAAAAAAAAUGAAAUUACACUAAAGUUUCUAAUUCAAAUUCAACAUUGCUUUUUAAAAACUUAAUGUUCACAUUUGUAUUUCUUUUACUGAAAAGCUUGAUUUCAAAUAGUAUCAACAUGUUUACUAAUUUGUUUUAAUUUACUAAUAGCUUAGUGAGCAAAGUUCAAAAUUUUCUGUACAGACACUAUACUGUGAUCAGAAUAAAAGAUAAUUCUUUUCCCUAUGGGGAUAAUUUCAAUCAGGAUCUUUCAAAUCAUUCUAGCAAUUUCUUUGGUACUAGGGUCUCCUCACAAUUUCUUCUACAGGGUCAGAUAGUCAUUGCCUUUAAAAAAAGGAAUGCCUUAAUGUAGCUGUGGCCUUCCAUCGCAUCUGCUAUGCCACAAACAUGAAAUUGUUUAUGUGACCUUUUUACCAGAAGGAACUGACUCAACCACAAAGCAGAGCACAAGCACGACACAGGGCUCAGGAUCGUGUGCGAUCAACAUGGCUUGUAAAGCAGAAAGUUUUUACAACACAGAAAAGGAUGUGAUCAUCAGUGGGGGGCCAGAAAGCUGAGGAAGAAGCUCACCACGCAAACGCUGUGCUCAACCAACUCGGCCAGCAAACUUCUGAAGCCGCUAGAAUCUAAGAUUAACAUCACCAUCGUCAUCAUCAUCGUCCCUUCAUUUAUUUCAGAGAUGGGGGCUAGAAACAAAUCUCCCAAAUCUCUUAAGCCUUAUAAAUCUGAAAGUAAAACUAAGUGGCUACCUUUUUUUAUCCCUUUUCAAGAAGUUCUUCUUCCCUGCUCUUUCGAUUCGGCCUUCUUCAAGAUCCAUCGCGACCUGAGGAGAAACCAGAGCAGACUGGCCAAGUGCAAGAACCGCAGAACCACAGAAGGCCGAGGUGAGACAGAGCAAGACUUCCGCGGGGAGCGGUAGGGCAGAGCGCUCGCCCUGAUGCUCUAGCCGCCAGAAGCCGCGGUGGCUGCCUCACGGACUUGCCUCCGCGCCCGGCAUCCAGCCUCCGCACGCGAGCAGAGGGGCAGGGCGCCGGCGCGUCCUGGACUUUGCCCGCUGCCGCUGCAGCUCUACCUCCCGGUUACCCUCGCGGUCCACAGGCUCAGAGCCCAGCUUCCAAGACGAGCGGCCAGGACCGAAAAUAAGGUGCCGGGGAGCUCCCCAACUGAGAUAACUCUCAUUCCCCUGGCUCCUCUUGGACUUGCCAAUUGGAAUCCGCCCCCCGCCCCAAACCCUUCUCUCACUGGAACCAAGCUCAGAAAAUUGGAGGGCCCACUUUCCCUGCGAACUGUCUCCAUCUCGUCCCCAGCUUCGCGCGCCCCUACCUCGGGCUUUCCCUCUGAACGUCCGCUAAGACGUGGAUUUUUGGAAGAAGAGAGGCAGACUCCCGGAGGAAGGACUCCCGGGAAGCUCCCGGAGGAAGCGCACAGCGGUCUCGGACUUCGGGGCCUAGAAGGAGCCGCGGCUCAAUACGUCCAGGCUUCCUGUGGCGAAUGGUGAGAGGAGUAAAAGUGCAGCCCACACCCCUGCGCUCUACAGCCCAGCCAAUCAGCCAGACCGCUCUAGAACUACUGCAGGCCCUCUUGAUUGCAUGCUGAUUGCACUACGAGUUAGGAAACAGGUUGGAAUUGCAGGAGGAAUGUCCUUGCUUCUGUUGCCCCUCAGCAAAAGAGCAACUAGAGGAACGCUUAUCAACUGAAUCAUGAAGGACAUUUACAAUUAUAGAGUCAUGUCUGUGCAAGUCCUCAGAAGUCUUCAUAUCCACAGAAAUUGUAGCAGCUUGAUGUGGGAUCUCAGCGUUGGACUUCAUGGAGAAUGAAGUCAAAGUCUCUGGCCAAGACAAGAAUAACCAGACCCUUAUCAUCACCCCACCCAUCACAUUACAAUGCCCCUUCCCCCACCUUGAGCAACCUGGCCUACUCCUUCCUACCCCCUUCUAAGAAAGGUAUGUGGCCCACUCCUCACCCCUCCUCUAUAGGGGCCUUAUAAGCUCCAAACAACCUGCAAGUGUGUUGUAAGACCCCUCUUUACCCAACCCAUCAGCAGGUCUGCAGGUGUAUCCCGAGACCUCUCCUCUCCCUGGGUUAUAAAAACAGACAUGAACACACACUCAUCCUUGGCUCUCCCUGAUUAGCAGGAAGUCUUCAUGCUACUUGCAGCAUCCCUUAUCUCAAUAAAAUAUUUCCUUUAA